rnacentral:rRNA from 1 species
UACGAAGGGGGCUAGCGUUGCUCGGAAUCACUGGGCGUAAAGCGCACGUAGGCGGUUUCUUAAGUCAGGGGUGAAAUCCUGGAGCUCAACUCCAGAACUGCCUUCGAUACUGGAAGACUCGAGUCCGGGAGAGGUGAGUGGAACUGCGAGUGUAGAGGUGAAAUUCGUAGAUAUUCGCAAGAACACCAGUGGCGAAGGCGGCUCACUGGCCCGGUACUGACGCUGAGGUGCGAAAGCGUGGGGAGCAAACAGG